UAUGCAAGUUGAGUGCUGGUGACGGG
rnacentral:piRNA from 1 species